UACGUAGGGUGCAAGCGUUAUCCGGAAUUAUUGGGCGUAAAGAGCUCGUAGGCGGUUUGUCGCGUCUGCUGUGAAAACCCGAGGCUCAACCUCGGGCCUGCAGUGGGUACGGGCAGACUAGAGUGCGGUAGGGGAGACUGGAAUUCCUGGUGUAGCGGUGAAAUGUGCAGAUAUCUGGAGGAAUACCGGUGGCGAAGGCGGCAUCCUGGACCGACAUUGACGCUGAGGCGCGAAAGCGUGGGGAGCGAACAGG
rnacentral:rRNA from 1 species